rnacentral:rRNA from 1 species
UACGUAGGGGGCGAGCGUUGUCCGGAUUCAUUGGGCGUAAAGAGCUCGUAGGCGGCUUGGCAAGUCGGAUGUGAAAACUCCAGGCUCAACCUGGAGCCGCCAUUCGAUACUGCUAUGGCUAGAGUCCGGUAGGGGAGUGUGGAAUUCCCGGUGUAGCGGUGAAAUGCGCAGAUAUCGGGAGGAACACCGAUGGCGAAGGCAGGCACUCUGGGCCGAUCGACGCUGAGGAGCGAAAGCGUGGGGAGCGAACAGGAUUAGAACC